CCUACGGGAGGCUGCAGUGGGGAAUAUUGCACAAUGGGCGCAAGCCUGAUGCAGCCAUGCCGCGUGUGUGAAGAAGGCCUUCGGGUUGUAAAGCACUUUCAGCGGGGAGGAAGGCGGUGAGGUUAAUAACCUCAUCGAUUGACGUUACCCGCAGAAGAAGCACCGGCUAACUCCGUGCCAGUAGCCGCGGUAAUACAGAGGGUGCAAGCGUUAAUCGGAAUUACUGGGCGUAAAGCGCACGCAGGCGGUCUGUCAAAUCGGAUGUGAAAUCCCCGGGCUCAACCUGGGAACUGCAUUCGAAACUGGCAGGCUAGAGUCUUGUAGAGGGGGGUAGAAUUCCAGGUGUAGCGGUGAAAUGCGUAGAGAUCUGGAGGAAUACCGGUGGCGAAGGCGGCCCCCUGGACAAAGACUGACGCUCAGGUGCGAAAGCGUGGGGAGCAAACAGGAUUAGAUACCCGAGUAGUC
rnacentral:rRNA from 1 species